UACGAAGGGGGCUAGCGUUGCUCGGAAUCACUGGGCGUAAAGGGUGCGUAGGCGGGUCUUAAGUCAGGGGUGAAAUCCUGGAGCUCAACUCCAGAACUGCCUUUGAUACUGGCGAUCUUGAGUCCGGGAGAGGUGAGUGGAACUGCGAGUGUAGAGGUGAAAUUCGUAGAUAUUCGCAAGAACACCAGUGGCGAAGGCGGCUCACUGGCCCGGUACUGACGCUGAGGUGCGAAAGCGUGGGGAGCAAACAGGG
rnacentral:rRNA from 1 species